UGUAUUAGCUAUAUUAAUACUAUAUAUAUAUAUAUAUAUAUAUAUAUAUAUAUACCCACUGAAGUUAAGCAGGGUUGAGCCUGGUCAGUACCUGGAUGGGAGACCUCCUGAGAAAACUAGGUUGCUGUUGGAA
rnacentral:rRNA from 1 species